rnacentral:rRNA from 1 species
UACGUAGGGUGCGAGCGUUGUCCGGAAUUAUUGGGCGUAAAGAGCUUGUAGGCGGUUUGUCGCGUCUGCUGUGAAAAUCCGGGGCUCAACCCCGGACUUGCAGUGGGUACGGGCAGACUGGAGUGUGGUAGGGGAGACUGGAAUUCCUGGUGUAGCGGUGGAAUGCGUAGAGAUCCGGAGGAACACCAGCGGCGAAGGCGGCAUCCUGGACUGGUCCUGACACUCAUGAGCGAAAGCGUGGGGAGCGAGUCCGG